GCGGCAGGCUUAACACAUGCAAGUCGAGCGGAUGAGGGGAGCUUGCUCCCUGAUUUAGCGGCGGACGGGUGAGUAAUGCGUAGGAAGCUGCCCGAUAGAGGGGGAUACCAGUUGGAAACGACUGUUAAUACCGCAUAAUGUCUACGGACCAAAGUGUGGGACCUUCGGGCCACAUGCUAUCGGAUGCGCCUACGUGGGAUUAGCUAGUUGGUGAGGUAAUGGCUCACCAAGGCGACGAUCUCUAGCUGGUUUGAGAGGAUGAUCAGCCACACUGGAACUGAAACACGGUCCAGACUCCUACGGGAGGCAGCAGUGGGGAAUAUUGGACAAUGGGCGCAAGCCUGAUCCAGCCAUGCCGCGUGUGUGAAGAAGGCCUUCGGGUUGUAAAGCACUUUCAGCGAGGAGGAAGGGUGGUGUGUUAAUAGCACAUCAUUUUGACGUUACUCGCAGAAGAAGCACCGGCUAACUCUGUGCCAGCCGCCGCCGUAA
rnacentral:rRNA from 1 species